rnacentral:rRNA from 1 species
UACGGGGGGGGGCAAGCGUUGUUCGGAAUUACUGGGCGUAAAGAGCUCGUAGGUGGUUUGUCGCGUUGUCCGUGAAAAACUCACAACUCAAUUGUGGGCGUGCGGGCGAUACGGGCAGACUGGAGUACUGCAGGGAAGACUGGAAUUCCUGGUGUAGCGGUGGAAUGCGCAGAUAUCAGGAGGAACACCGGUGGCGAAGGCGGGUCUCUGGGCAGUAACUGACGCUGAGGAGCGAAAGCGUGGGGAGCGAACAGG